rnacentral:rRNA from 1 species
AUGCGGGUAGCGCCGGGCGGCGGGGAGGCCACCGUGUUGGUCAACCAGGUUGACGGUUAUCCUCUGCGCUUCACCAACGGUGUUGACGUUGAUCAAGUUACGGGAAAGGUCUACUUCACCGAUAGCUCGAUGAACUAUCAAAGGUCGCAGCAUGAGAUGGUCACUCGCACAGGAGACUCGACGGGCCGCCUCAUGAGCUACGACCCACGGACAUCGGAUGUCACGCUGCUCCAGGCGGGCAUGACGUACCCCAACGGCGUCGCGCUCAGCGCCGACCGCACCCACCUCGUGGUCGCAUCUACUGGACCAUGCAAGCUACUGAGGCACUGGAUCAAAGGGGUCAACGCAGGCACAUCCGAGCCUUUUGCCGACCUGCCCGGCUAUCCAGAUAACGUGAGGCCCGACACCAAAGGAGGCUAUUGGGUGGCGUUGCACCGCGAGAAGAAUGAGUUGCCCUUUGGUCCUGAUAGUCAUCGUCUCGCUGUCAGGGUCGGUAAUGAUGGGAACAUAGUCGAGGAGAUGAGAGGGCCAAAGAAGGUGAGGCCCACCGAGAUUAUGGAGAGAAGCAAUGGCAAGAUCUACUUGGGUUCGGUAGAGCUUCCUUAUGUCGGCGUUGUUAAGCGCAAGUAG